UACGGAGGGGGCUAGCGUUGUUCGGAAUUACUGGGCGUAAAGCGUACGCAGGCGGACUGUUAGGUUAGAGGUAAAAUCCCAGGGCUCAACCCUGGAACUGCCUUUAAAACUGGUGGUCUGGAGUUAUGGAGAGGUAAGUGGAAUUCCUAGUGUAGAGGUGAAAUUCGUAGAUAUUAGGAGGAACACCGGAGGCGAAGGCGGCUUACUGGACAUAUACUGACGCUGAGGUACGAAAGUGUGGGGAGCAAACAGGAUUAGAUACCCUGGUAGUCCACACCGUAAACGAUGAGAGCUAGUUGUCCGCAGACAUGUCUGUGGGUGACGCAGUUAACGCAUUAAGCUCUCCGCCUGGGGAGUACGGCCGCAAGGCUAAAACUCAAAGAAAUUGACGGGGGCCCGCACAAGCGGUGGAGCAUGUGGUUUAAUUCGAAGCAACGCGAAGAACCUUACCACCCCUUGACAUACUCGUCGCGGAUUAGAGAAAUCUUUUCCUUCAGUUCGGCUGGACGAUGUACAGGUGCUGCAUGGCUGUCGUCAGCCCGUGUCGUGAGAUGUUAGGUUAAGUCCUGCAACGAGCGCAACCCUCGUCCUUAGUUGCCAGCAUUUAGUUGGGCACUCUAGGGAUACUGCCGGUGCUAAGCCGGAGGAAGGUGGGGAUGACGUCAAGUCUUCAUGGCCCUUACGGGGUGGGCUACACACGUGCUACAAUGGCGAUGACAGAGGGUUAAUCCCUAAAAGUCGUCUCAGUUCGGAUUGCCUUCUGCAACUCGAAGGCAUGAAGUUGGAAUCGCUAGUAAUCGCAGGUCAGCAUACUGCGGUGAAUACGUUCCCGGGCCU
rnacentral:rRNA from 1 species